rnacentral:rRNA from 1 species
ACGGGUGAGUAACGCGUGGGAACAUACCUCUUGGUUCGGAACAACACAGGGAAACUUGUGCUAAUACCGGAUAAGCCCUUACGGGGAAAGAUUUAUCGCCGAGAGAUUGGCCCGCGCCUGAUUAGCAAGUUGGUGGGGUAAAGGCCUACCAAGGCGACGAUCAGUAGCUGGUCUGAGAGGAUGAUCAGCCACAUUGGGACUGAGACACGGCCCAAACUCCUACGGGAGGCAGCAGUGGGGAAUAUUGGACAAUGGGCGCAAGCCUGAUCCAGCCAUGCCGCGUGAGUGAUGAAGGCCCUAGGGUUGUAAAGCUCUUUUGUACGGGAAGAUAAUGACGGUACCGUAAGAAUAAGCCCCGGCUAACUUCGUGCCAGCAGCCGCGGUAAUACGAAGGGGGCUAGCGUUGCUCGGAAUCACUGGGCGUAAAGGGUGCGUAGGCGGGUUUUUAAGUCAGAGGUGAAAUCCUGGAGCUUAACUCCAGAACUGCCUUUGAUACUGAAAGUCUUGAGUAUGGGAGAGGUGAGUGGAACUGCGAGUGUAGAGGUGAAAUUCGUAGA